AAGUUUGGAUUAUAUUUCACCUGUUUGCGUGUGAAACUUCAGAUGGAAAGAAUUAUUUACUCAAAAAAUAUGUUAAAAAUAUUUUCGAUUGAUGAUAGGAACAUUCUUAGAGUUUACUAGAAAGAUUGUUAAUUGAAGACAAUAAUGCUCUUGCUGAGAAUCAACGACAUCAUAUCAAGAAUGAUGGAUUGGUAAAAAACUAUUUGUACUAAAGAAUUCACUUACAUGAACUUAUUGUUAGUCAUCUUGAAGCCUAGGACCUGAAUGUACCUUGAAGAGUCGAUGUUUGCAGAUAUUAUUUUGGAGCUAUAUACUUAUUUAAGGCUAUGAAAGAAAUCUAGUGGAUAUUUUUCGAUAAUUAUAAAUCAUAUAUUUCAUAUUUUUUAAAUAAUUCUUACAAUUUCAUUGCUUAAGAUUUUUUGAGAAAAAAGUAUUUUAUUAGUACUCGCAUUUUUCGGGUAUUUAAACAUGGCUUGUCAUACGCACUAUGAUUUCUGUCCAAACAACUCCUGCGUGAAGUUGUUCUGUGCACAUCAUCAACAGUUUGCGACGGAAUGAUUCUGCGCAUGACAAGAAACUUUCGAAAGUGAAAUACAUGUGUGAAUUAAUUAAAUUGAAACUAAAAAUUUCUCAAAGCAAUUUUAAAUAAAAUUAUUAAAUUAAA